UGGGGAAUAUUGGACAAUGGGCGAAAGCCUGAUCCAGCCAUGCCGCGUGUGUGAAGAAGGUCUUCGGAUUGUAAAGCACUUUAAGUUGGGAGGAAGGGCAUUAACCUAAUACGUUAGUGUUUUGACGUUACCGACAGAAUAAGCACCGGCUAACUCUGUGCCAGCAGCCGCGGUAAUACAGAGGGUGCAAGCGUUAAUCGGAAUUACUGGGCGUAAAGCGCGCGUAGGUGGUUUGUUAAGUUGGAUGUGAAAUCCCCGGGCUCAACCUGGGAACUGCAUUCAAAACUGACUGACUAGAGUACGGUAGAGGGUGGUGGAAUUUCCUGUGUAGCGGUGAAAUGCGUAGAUAUAGGAAGGAACACCAGUGGCGAAGGCGACCACCUGGACUAAUACUGACACUGAGGUGCGAAAGCGUGGGGAGCAAACA
rnacentral:rRNA from 1 species